CCGUUGCCGGCGACCGGCGCACGGGUGAGUAACACGUAUGCAACCUGCCCGUGGCAGGGGGAUAAGCGGGGGAAACCCCGUCUAAUACCGCGUAACGCGGCCUAGGGACAUCCCAAGGCCGCCAAAGGGAGCAAUCCCGGCCACGGAUGGGCAUGCGGCGCAUUAGCUAGUCAGCGGGGUAACGGCCCACCGAGGCGACGAUGCGUAGGGGUUCUGAGAGGAAGGCCCCCCACACUGGUACUGAGACACGGACCAGACUCCUACGGGAGGCAGCAG
rnacentral:rRNA from 1 species